GCCCCCAGGAUGGGAUUUGGGGACCCCAUGGUUGGGUCACCCAACUUUUGGGGUCUCCUGGUCUUUGGGGUGGGUCUAGGAUGAGAUUUGGGGACCCCUUGGUUGACCCCAUAGUUGGGUCACCCAAUUUUUGGGGUCCCCUGGUCCUUUGGGUGCCCCCAGGAUGUAAUUUGGGGACCCCAUGGUUGGGUCACCCAAUUUUUGGGGUCCCCUGGUCCUUUGGGUGCCUCCAGGAUGGGAUUUGGGGACCCCUUGAAGGACCCCAAGGUGGGAUCACCCAAUUUUUGGGGUCCCCUGGUCUUUGGGGUGCCCCCAGGAUGGGAUUUGGGGACCCCAUGGUUGGGUCACCCAAUUUUUGGGGUCCUCGGGUCCUUUGGGUGCCCCCAGGAUGGGAUUUGGGGACCCCAUGGUUGUGUCACCCAACUUUUGGGGUCCCCCGGUCCUUUGGGUGCCCCCAGGAUGGGAUUUGGGGACCCCAUGGUUGGGUCACCCAAUUUUUGGGGUCCCCCGGUCCUUUGGGUGCCAGGAUGGGAUUUGGGGACCCCAUGGUUGGGGUCACCCAACUUUUGGGGUCCCCCGGUCUUUGGGGUGUCCCCGUGCCGGGGGUCUCCUUUGGGUGUCACCCCCCCGUGUCCCCUCCCCAGCUGACCGCGAGGUGCAGCGCAUCCUCCUGGAGCUCCUCAACCAGAUGGACGGCUUCGACCAGAACGUCAACGUCAAGGUGGGUGCCCCCCCGGGUCCCUUGGGUGCCCCCCCGGGUCCCUUGGGUGUCCCAGGGUCCCGUGGGUGCCUCAGAGGCCCAUGGGUGCCCCAGGGUCCCAUGGGUGCAAGGAGACCCCGUGGGUGUCCCCCGGGUCCCUUGGGUGCCCCCCAAGUCCCGUGGGUGCAAGGAGACCCCGUGGGUGUCCUCCAUGUCCCAUGGGUGCCCCCAGGGUCCCAUGGGUGCCCCCGUGUCCCUUGGGUGCCCCUGUGUCCCUUGGGUGUCCCAGAGGCCCAUGGGUGCCCCCUGGGUCCCAUGGGUGCAAGAAGACCCCAUGGGUGCCCCCCGGGUCCCUUGGGUGCCCCUGUGUCCCUUGGGUGUCCCAGAGACCCCUUGGGUGCCCCCAGGGUCCCAUGGGUGCCCCCUG
rnacentral:lncRNA from 1 species